ACAACCCUAUGCGGUGGAUCACUUGGCUCGCGAGUCUAUGAAGAGCGCAGCAAACUGCGUGAAUUAAUGUGAUUUGCAGGACACAUUGAUCAUCGAUAUCUUGAAAGCAUAUUGUGGUCAUGGAUCGCUUCCAUGACCACUUCUGUUUGAUGGUUGGGAUUAAUAU
rnacentral:rRNA from 1 species